rnacentral:rRNA from 1 species
AUUGAACGCUGGCGGCAGGCCUAACACAUGCAAGUCGAGCGGAUGAAGGGAGCUUGCUCCUGGAUUCAGCGGCGGACGGGGGAGUAAUGCCCAGGAAUCUGCCGGGUAGUGGGGGAUAACGUCCGGAAACGGGCGCUAAUACCGCAUACGUCCUGAGGGAGAAAGUGGGGGAUCUUCGGACCUCACGCUAUCAGAUGAGCCUAGUUCGGAUUAGCUAGUUGGUGGGGUAAAUGCCUACCAAGGCGAAGAUCCGUAACUGGUCUGAGAGGAUGAUCAGUCACACUGGAACUGAGACACGGUCCAGACUCCUACGGGAGGCAGCAGUGGGGAAUAUUGGACAAUGGGCGAAAGCCUGAUCCAGCCAUGCCGCGUGUGUGAAGAAGGUCUUCGGAUUGUAAAGCACUUUAAGUUGGGAGGAAGGGCAGUAAGUUAAUACGUUGCUGUUUUGACGUUACCAACAGAAUAAGCACCGGCUAACUUCGUG